UUGGGUUUAUUGGGUGGAGCUCCUUGAAGUCCAAUAGAGGAUCUUGCUGGGAAGAAAUAAGCUGCUGAUUUAUGGAUCCCUCAUUCCUAUCCAUGUAUUAUAAUUGGUGUGGAUAUGUUUGUGGCUUGCAUACGUCAGGAGCUUCAAUUUACCCAUUGUUUGAGCCUUCUUUGGAUUGAAGGGAGCUCUACACUUUUUUUCCCAU
rnacentral:pre_miRNA from 1 species